AACCGGCGCGCGGCUGGAGGCUGGGAACCAGCUCCUGGGUCUUAGUCAGAGGUUCACAUCCACCAACUAUCUUCCCAGGGUUGGACUGAGAAGGGGAGCAGAGGGUCCCAGGGACUCUCCUGAGAUCCUGGCUCUCCUGCCAAGGAAUUUACAUUUCCUUGUCACAGGUAAAUGGCCUUCCAUGCCACAUUUUUCUGUGGCUGAGUAGGCUUCUAACUCAGCUCAUCUGUCACUUUCUCCGUGAAACUUACCCCUGCCUACUUUAGAGGAGUCACUAGCACUUUGUGCAGACCUACCUUGUAGUACAACCCAUAGAAAGAUAAAGGUUAGGAGUUAUUUUUUCACAAGCCCACAAUACUAGACUGUGGUUUCUAUCUUUAUCUCAUAAACUUGGACAGGGUCUUCAGUGUUGUAGUAUCUCCCUAAACGUCUGAUGACUAUCAGAACACAGGGAAUGUCUAAAACUUUUAUCGUUGCCCUUGGUCUCUGCAUAAUCAUGAUUUAAGAUCCCCUUUAACCCAAGCACGUGGGAAGGUGGUGUUUGUUUCCCCAGUAUGAAAGCCUUUAAAUCAUAAUGUUAAUUAGAGUGGUAAAUGCUUCACUUAGUAAAAGAGAUUUAUGGUAUUUUAUUAGCUUAUCUUCACAAAGAGCUCCAACGAAAAUUGAUACUGUUUAGUCCAGAAAAGGAAACCAAGUCAGAGAAAGGUCAGAUUUCUGAAGGUUAUCUAGCUUCAGAGGAAGAUGCCUGUGUGGGAGACCUUUGUGGACAAACACCCCACUUCACACAGAGAUCCCUCUUUUUCUGUUGCCCCUCUUUCUGUUGCAGAAACUGAACAGGUUAAGUUAGUGCCUGUGGCCAGAUUUAAUCCGGCCAGAUUUAUUUAUUUAUCAAAUAAAUAAAAUGUAAAAACUCCCUAAUUGGGAGUUCUGGCUAGACCAGUCAUCAUCACUGUUAGACUGGUGAAUACUGAGAUGAUAGUCAAGAAAUGGGGCUAGCAACAAAAUGACAGAAAAUCCUGGGAUGAAUGUAUAUGAAGAAAUAGGAUUAACAGAGGCUUCUGAGAAACUAGGAAAAUGACAACCCUCAAGAUUCCAUUCUCAAAUGUUUACAAAGCUGUUGGACUCUUUUCUGCAUUUACCACUGUAUACACCCACAGACUGAUCCCACCUCAUAGUUUCAGCUACCACACAGGUUAUGCUAAUGGCAUCCCAUUCUAAAUAUUCAGCCCAAGAUUCAGACCUUGUGGUAGACUAUUUUCUUAUGGCACACAAUUAACUGUGCCUCCCAGUAUUCAUGCCCAUGUAUAGUCCUCUGCCCUUGAGUCUGGGCCGGACCUGUCACCUGCCUUAAACAAUCAAAUAUGGCAAAAAUUACUCUCUGUCACUUCUAGGCCUAGGCCUUUAAAGACUUUGCAGGGCCAGGCGCGGUGGCUCACGCCUGUAAUCCCAGCACUUUGGGAGGCCAAGGCGGGUGGAUCACGAGGUCAGGAGAUUGAGACCAUCCUGGCUAACACAGUGAAACCCCGUCUCUACUAAAAAUACAAAAAAUUAGCCAGGCAUGGUGGCACACGCCUGUAGUCCCAGCUACUCGGGAGGCUGAGGCAGGAGAAUGGUGUGAACCCAGGAGGUGGAGGUUGCAGUGAGCCGAGAUCGCGCCACUGCACUCCAGCCUGGGCGACAGAGUGAGACUCCGUCUCAAAAAAAAAAAAAAAAAAAAAAAAAAAAAGGCUUUGCAGUGACAACUUUGAACUUUACCAGAGACUCAUGGGAAACAGAAAUAGUUAAGAAAUCCCACCACCUUUUUGUGUUCUGCGAAACAGUUUACCACAAAGACCAAUCCUUCUCCAUAUUACUUAAAUGAGACUCAUUGUCCAGUUUCUCUGAUAAAACUAGUAGAUGACCUGUGACAAGACCAAACACAUACCUUUCCUUUUUUCCCGAACCUGUGGGGAAGGUCAGUCACCUUUCAACUUCCUAUUUGUCUCAUGAAUGAUUAGCUAGGAUUAGAACUACUUUUUCCCCCUUGAAAUUAGGUAGCGAUAAACAUUUCAUAGCUGAUAAUUCUCUGAUUACAAAAAUAAUCCCAACUGUAAUCAUCUCAUCUAUAACCUGUCUAUGCCUCCCUGUAAAAGUAUAAGGCAGCCAGGCAUAGUGGUGCACACCUGUACUCCCACCUACUCAGGAGAUUGAGGUGGGAAAAUUGUUUGAGCCCAGGAGUUUGAGAGCAGCCUAGACAACAGCAAAACCAUGCUCUAAAAUAAUAAUAAAAGUAUAGGGCAAAACCACCCUGCUGAGACACUCUGAUCUUCACAUCUGGAGUACUCUCCCUAAUGUAAUUGCCUGAAUGAAAUCUAUUUCCUCACCAGUUUAGUUUUUAACUUUGACAGUAGCUAUCAUUUUUGCCCUUUGUGGGAAG
rnacentral:lncRNA from 1 species